AUUGACCGCUGGCGGCAGGCCUAACACAUGCAAGUCGAGCGAGCGGCGGACGGGUGAGUAAUGUAUGGGGACUGCCCGAUAGAGGGGGUUAACUCCUGGAACCGGUGGCUAUUACCGCAUACUAUCGGAUAACCCAUAUGGGAGUAGCUAGUAGGUGGGGUAAAGGCUAACCUAGGCGACGAUCUCUAGCUGGUCUGAGAGGAUGAUCAGCCACACUGGGACUGAGACACGGCCCAGACUCCUACGGAGGCAGCAGUGGGGAAUAGUGCACAAUGGGCGAAAGCCUGAUGCAGCCAUGCCGCGUGUAUGAAGAAGGCCUUAGGGUUGUAAAGUACUGUCAGCGGGGAGGCGUUACCCGCAGAAGAAGCACCGGCUAACUCCGUGCCAGCAGCCGCGGUAAUUC
rnacentral:rRNA from 1 species